UAUAGCGCGGUUACACACAGUUGGGUGAGGCUUGUUUUGGUUUAUCGCUGUUGACUUCAACCUGCCUGUGGUCUGGCGACCUUACCCGACGAGGUGGAAAACGUUCAACUAAAUUUCACAGUGGGGUCAUGAGAUUCAAGGAUUCUUUGUACUUACAGCGUCCGGUCAUCUCAAGGAUCUUGCCGGGAUGCUGCCUUCUAUUCCUUACUUACUUCCUGAAACUGCUCAUCUGUUGUCCCUCCAUGUGAAGGAGAUCUUCAGAGAUCUUCAAUCAGUGACCUGGAAGCAAGCAGCUAUUCUUCUUGCUGUAUCAGCUAUUCUUCCUUCAUUAUUUCCUGAGUGAACUGGGUAUGGAGUGGAUGGGCCAGCAGGAACUCAUGCAGCAUAGAGCUCUGCACAAUUAACAUGGCAAAAAAAACACCUAAGCAAAAAAAGAUGUUCAACUUUUUUUAGGUUAAAUUUGUACUGUUUUAUUAUUUGUUGAAUUUUUAAUUGUUUUUGUACAGUUCCUAUUUAAUUUGAUAAUACGAAAACCAUCUUGCACCAAUUGUUUCAGAUAAUCAACGCACUGCUGUAAAUAGUCCUUUUACCUCUAAUCAUAAAGAUCAAUAGAACAUAGAUUUAAGCAGUAUUACAUAUUAAAUAUUUAGUAUAGAGAAAUAAGAAAAUAACAUUUAUUUCUUACACAAUUAAUCACAAUCAAUACAAAAGAGAGGGUUUUAGUUUUGAAAUAUACUACAUCAAUUAAAAAUGUAUUAUUUUAUUUAGACAAUAUUAAGGCCAAUUAAAUUAAUAAAACUUAAAAUGUGACCAAAUAACAUGUCUUGUUUUUGGUCUUGUCAAAUGAGUGACAGUUUUAAAAGGCUUAAACUUUAGAAGUCCAUUUAUAAUAAUUUGUAAUCACUACAUGAAACUGAACAUUGGUAUCAAAUGAAUUUCUGAAGUGAGCAGUAUAACUUCAUAGCAUGACUUUGGUUUAUAAAUGUAAAAAGUCAUAGUUUACCUUAUAAAGGUCCUGCUAAUAUUGUAUAUUCAGAUAACUACUAUAUAAUGUACAUGGAAAUGGGCAAGAGUGGAAUGGAAUUGUAAAUGUGACCAAAAUCACAUAUUGUACGUUGGGUCUUAAAAAUUAAAAUUAUUAAUUUGUACAAGGCUUCUAAUUUUAAUGUGCAUUUAAUAUUUAUUUGUAAACACUACCUGAA